rnacentral:rRNA from 1 species
GCCCCAAGUGGGAUUAGCUAGUUGGUGAGGUAAUGGCUCACCAAGGCGACGAUCCCUAGCUGGUUUGAGAGGAUGAUCAGCCACACUGGGAUUGAGACACGUCCCAGACUCUUACGGGAGGCAGCAGUGGGGAAUAUUGCACAAUGGCCGCAAGCCUGAGGCAGCCAUGCCGGGUGUGUGAAGAAGGCCUUCGGGUUGUAAAGCACUUUCAGCAAGGAGGAAAGGGUGUAAGUUAAUACCUUAUAUCUUUGACGUUACUUGCAGAAGAAGCACCGGCUAAUUCCGUGCCAGCAGCCGCGGUAAUACGGAGGGUGCGAGCGUUAAUCGGAAUUACUGGGCGUAAAGCGUACGCAGGCGGUUUGUUAAGCGAGAUGUGAAAGCCCCGGGCUUAACCUGGGAACUGCAUUUCGAACUGGCAGGCUAGAGUGUGAUAGAGGGUGGUAGAAUUUCAGGUGUAGCGGUGAAAUGCGUAGAGAUCUGAAGGAAUACCGAUGGCGAAGGUAGCCACCUGGGUCAACACUGACGUUCAUGUAUCUUUCCUUGGAGCAAACAGGAUUAGAUACCCUGGUAGUCCACGCCGUAAACGAUGUMUACUAGGAGCUCGGCUUUURGGAGCUGUUYUYCAAAGCAAACGCAUUAAGUAGACCGCCUGGGRAGUACGGCCGCAAGGUUAAAAUUCAAAUGAAUUGACGGGGGCCCGCCCAAGCGGUGGAGCAUGUGGUUUAAUUGGAUGCAACGGGAAGACCUUUACUUACACUUGACAUCCAGAGAACUUUCUAGAGAUAGAUUGGUCCCUUCGGGAAUUUUGAGACAGGUGCUGCAUGGCGGUGGUCAGCUCGUGUUGUGAGAUGUUGGGUUAAUUCCCGCAACGAGCGCAACCCCUAUCUUUAGUUGCCAGGGAUUAGGUCGGGAACUCUAAGGAGACUGCCGGUGAUAAACCGGAGGAAGGUGGGGACGACGUCAAGUCAUCAUGGCCCUUACGUGUAGGGCUACACACGUGCUACAAUGGCGCAUACAGAGGGCUGCGAGCCUGCGAGGGUGAGCGAAUCACUUAAAGUGCGUCGUAGUCCGGAUUGGAGUCUGCAACUCGACUCCAUGAAGUAGGAUUU